rnacentral:rRNA from 1 species
CCUUUGACGUUAGCGGCGGACGGGUGAGUAACACGUGGGUAACCUACCUAUAAGACUGGGAUAACUUCGGGAAACCGGAGCUAAUACCGGAUAAUAUUUCGAACCGCAUGGUUCGAUAGUGAAAGGUGGUUUCGCUAUCACUUAUAGAUGGACCCGCGCCGUAUUAGCUAGUUGGUAAGGUAACGGCUUACCAAGGCGACGAUACGUAGCCGACCUGAGAGGGUGAUCGGCCACACUGGAACUGAGACACGGUCCAGACUCCUACGGGAGGCAGCAGCC